UGCCAGCCGCCGCGGUAAGACGGAGGCCCCAAGCGUUGUUCGGAUUUACUGGGCGUAAAGAGUACGUAGGCGGUUAGGUAAGUCAGAUGUGAAAGCCCGGGGCUCAACCUCGGAACUGCAUCCGAUACUGCCUGACUAGAGGAUUGGAGAGGAAGUUGGAAUUCACGGUGUAGCAGUGAAAUGCGUGGAUAUCGUGAGGAAGACCAAAGGCGAAGGCAGACUUCUGGACAAUUCCUGACGCUGAGGUACGAAGGCCAGGGUAGCGAAAAGGAUUAGAUA
rnacentral:rRNA from 1 species